UCCAUUAGAUGCAUACAAACCAGAGACGUGGAUGCUUCCUCAUAAAAAAUGUGAGGGCUUGUCUCAGCUAAAUCUUGCUAUUGUUGGCCACGUUGAUUCUGGCAAAUCAACGUUGACAGGAAGAGACUGCACAUUUUGGGGUGGAUCUCUCAGAAGGAUAUGCACAAGUAUGAGAAGGAAGCCAAACAGCAGGGGAAAGGCUCAUUUGCCUACGCAUGGGCAUUAGAUGAAAGCGUUGAGGAAAGGGAAAGAGGAAUAACUAUGGCUGUUGCAGUUGCUCGUUUUGAAUCAAGGAAAUUUCAUGUUGUUAUGCUUGAUUCACCAGGGCAUAAAGAUUUUGUCGCAAAUAUGAUAUCUGGUGCUACACAAGCAGAUGCUGAUCAUGCUGUGAUACUUGUUGUCGAUGCAUCUAUUGGUUCUUUGAGGCAGGUAUGGGUUUAAAUGGAGUUGGGGGAUA